GAAAAAGAAGAACAAUGAGAGAGAAGAGGAAAAGAAAGGUGGAGAAGAUCAGGUGCUGCAGUGGGAUGAUGUUGAUCAGGUACUCUGGGAGUGAAGCCUUUCCAUGGAAAGCCUCUUGCUCAAAUGAGUAUUCCAUCUUAAGGCAAAGACACAUGUGGGCAUUGCAGCGCAUGUUUUAAGGUGUAAUACUCAUUACAGCAAGAUGCUUGGCAUGGGUAGGCAUGAUCCUGCACCCCACCUCCAUACAAUUUCCUUCUCCAUCUUCCAACCAUAUUAACCUGACUGAGGCAGGUUAGGGCAGCCCCUUGAAGGCCUAAAAUUUGAAGUACCCUUCAACUAGAAAAUAUUUUCGCUCUGCAACUGUGUCUCUCUCUCUCUCAGCGUGCUUUGUGUUUCAAAUGAAACAUUUGAACAAAGGCAAUGAAAAAUGUAUUCUUUUGGUCUUAA